AACGAACGCUGGCGGCAGGCUUAACACAUGCAAGUCGAACGCACCUUCGGGUGAGUGGCAGACGGGUGAGUAACGCGUGGGAAACCUUCCCUGUGGUACGGAAUAGCUCCGGGAAACUGGAAUUAAUACCGUAUACGCCCUUUUGGGGAAAGAUUUAUCGCCAUAGGAUGGGCCCGCGUCGGAUUAGCUUGUUGGUAGGGUAAUGGCCUACCAAGGCAACGAUCCGUAGCUGGUCUUAGAGGAUGAUCAGCCACACUGGGACUGAGACACGGCCCAGACUCCUACGGGAGGCAGCAGUGGGGAAUAUUGGACAAUGGGCGAAAGCCUGAUCCAGCCAUGCCGCGUGAGUGACGAAGGCCUUAGGGUUGUAAAACUCUUUUGGCGGGGACGAUAAUGACGGUACCCGCAGAAUAAGCCCCGGCUAACUUCGUG
rnacentral:rRNA from 1 species